rfam:Candidatus Nomurabacteria bacterium RIFCSPLOWO2_01_FTLL_33_24 rifcsplowo2_01_scaffold_6632, whole genome shotgun sequence.
GGCCCUAUCGUCUAACGGUUAGGACGCAAGCUUCUCAAGUUUGAAAUCCGGGUUCGAUUCCCGGUAGGGUCA